GCCGAAGAGGGGAAAGGUUCCAUGUGAACGACACUUGCACAUGGGUUAGUCGAUCCUAAGAGACGGGGGAAGCCAGUCUGAUAGCGCGUUCAGCGUGAGCUUCGAAAGGGAAUCGGGUGGGGGCCUCGUAAAGAGUUAUCAGACUGGCUUAACAGCCUGCCCACCCUGGAAACGGCUCAGCCAGAGGUAGGGUUCAGCGACCAGAAGAGCACCGCACGUCGCGUCGUGUCCGAUGCGUUCCCAGCGGCCCUUUAAAAUCUGGAUGACCAAGUGCUGUCCAUGCCCGAUCGUACUCAUAACCGCAUCAGGUCUCCAGGGUGAACAGCCUCUAGUCAAUGGAACAAUGUAGGCAAGAGAAGUUGGCAAAAUGGAUCCGUAACCUCGGGAAAGGAUUAGCUUUGAGGGCUGGGCACGGUGGUCCUAGUCCAGAACCCGUCGACUGUCGGUGCACUGCUUGAGCUGCUUUUACGACGAGAGCGGGUCGUCGCGUGUCGGCUGAGGAACGGACUGGGAACAGCUCCCUCGGGGGCCUUCCUCGGGAGACGAACAGUCGACUUAGAAUUGGUUCGGGCAAGGGGAAUCUGACUGUUUAACUAAAACAAAGCAUUGCGAUGGUCCCUGCGGGUGCUCACGCAAUGUGAUUUCUGCCCAGUGGUCUGAAUGUCAAAGUGAAGAAAUUCAACCAAGCGCGGGUAAACG
rnacentral:ncRNA from 1 species